rnacentral:rRNA from 1 species
GACGAACGCUGGCGGCGUGCUUAACACAUGCAAGUCGAACGGAAAGGCCCUGCUUUUGUGGGGUGCUCGAGUGGCGAACGGGUGAGUAACACGUGGGUAACCUGCCCUUGACUUUGGGAUAACUUCAGGAAACUGGGGCUAAUACCGGAUAGGAGCUCCUGCUGCAUGGUGGGGGUCGGAAAGUUUCGGCGGUUGGGGAUGGACUCGCGGCUUAUCAGCUUGUUGGUGGGGUAGUGGCUUACCAAGGCUUUGACGGGUAGCCGGCCUGAGAGGGUGACCGGCCACAUUGGGACUGAGAUACGGCCCAGACUCCUACGGGAGGCAGCAGUGGGGAAUAUUGCACAAUGGGCGGAAGCCUGAUGCAGCAACGCCGCGUGCGGGAUGACGGCCUUCGGGUUGUAAACCGCUUUCGCCUGUGACGAAGCGUGAGUGACGGUAAUGGGUAAAGAAGCACCGGCUAACUACGUG